GACGAACGCUGGCGGCGUGCUUAACACAUGCAAGUCGAACGGAAAGGCCCUGCUUUUGUGCGUUGCUCGAGUGGCGAACGGGUGAGUAACACGUGAGUAACCUGCCCUUGACUUUCGGAUAACUUCAGGAAACUCGGGCUAAUACCGGAUAGGAGCUCCUGCUGCAUGGUGUGGGUUGGAAAGUUUCGGCGGUUGGGGAUGGACUCGCUGCUUAUCAGCUUGUUGGUGGGGUAGUGGCUUACCAAGGCUUUGACGGGUAGCCGGCCUGAGAGGGUGACCGGAGACAUUGGGACUGAGAGACGGACCAGAAGCGUACGGGAGGCAGUAGUGGAGAAUAUUGCACAAUGGGGGGAAGCGUGAGGUAGCAACGCAGGGUGCGGGAUGACGGCCUUCGGGUUGUAAACAGAUUUGGACGGUGACGAAGAGGGAGUGACGGUAAUGGGUAAAGAAGCACCGGCUAACUACGUG
rnacentral:rRNA from 1 species